rnacentral:lncRNA from 1 species
AUAGGUGAGACUUUUGUCCUUAAACUUCAAUUUGUUAUGCUUUCUAAUUUAAAUUUUUAGAAUUAUUGCAAUCAAGUCUUGCAAUUCAAUUUAAUUGACAAAAUUUUAUUAUACUGCUGAUGUAAAUAUGAUGUAAUAUUUUAAUUAUUAACGCAUCUUUAAUUACAAUAUUAUUAUAUCACCUUCGCAUUAACGAUAUAUCAAUAUUUAGUCAAUUAAAUUAGCUUAUCGGCCUUGAUUACAAUAAUUCUGAAAGUUUGAGCCAAAACUUAUUAAAAAUUAAAGUUUGAGAACCAAAGAGGCACUUGCCUCGUAGCUUGAGUACCAAAUGCGUGCAAUUUACCCUAAUAAAUAUUUACACUAUGAUAGCAUGCUACUCUUCAUUAAAAUUAGAAAAAACUUCAAAUACUACUCAUGUGGUUUCGUACUUUUUUAUUUUAGUACUCUGUAAUUUAAAGUGUAUCAAUUUAAUAUCCCAUGGUUUUACUUUUCUCUUUUUAUUAUCUCCUCCACUAUUUUUUUCGUUAAAUCUAUGACAAAGUUAAAAUUAAAAGGUAGUAAAAUGAAUCUAGGUGGAGUAUCAAUAAAUCUAGGCGGAGUAUCUGAAGUUUUUUGUAUAUAAUUUAACGAAAUGUUAACAGUGGAGCUGACGAAAAAAGAAAAAUGAAACCGCGGGAUACCAAAUUAUUACACUUUAAAUCACAAGGUACUAAAGUGAGAAAGUGUGAAACUACAGAGGUGGUAUCUGAAAUUUACCCUUAAGGGUGCGUUUGGUUCGCGCUAUCUUUUAAAGAUUCCUAGUAAUCCAAUGAGAAUAAAAAAAAUAUGACGGUGUUUAGCUAAAUCUAGUUGGUAAUAUGGGAUUCACUUGGGAAUAAAAUUCAUCCCAAAGUACUAAUCUCAUUCCCUUGAGGGAUGGUGGGUAUUCUCAUAUUAAUGGAUUAGGGUAAUCAUAAUAUGUCUAAUCUCUUUCUUUCUUCCUACCUGCCGGCUAAUUGAUAUUAUUUUUCUUUACACUCUAACCUUAUAUCUCUUUCUAAACUUAUUUUUCUCUCUAAAAUUCAACCUUUUUUUUUCUCUCUAAACUAAGCUUUCUCUCUCUCUCACUUUCUAAAAUUUCAACUCUAUCACUCCCUCUAAUUUCGACUAUAUUUUUCUUUCUAUUUUUUUAAUUAUGCUCUCUCUCUAACUUAUACUCUCUCUCCCUUUUUUCUAAAAAGAUGUUGAAACUUUUGAUAACAUUAUUUAAAAUUAAAUAAAUAAAUUAAUUAAUUAAUUAUAUAUUUUUUGUAAUAUUAAAUAACAUGGCUAAUUAAUAUUACCGUGCGAACCAAAUACAGGAAUUCUACAUUCUUAGUAAUAGGAUGAAUAGAAAUAAGAUUCUCGGAUAUCUUUUAUUCCUAAUAAUUUUUCAUAAUACGAACCAAACGCACCCAAAGGGGGAAGAUAUAUACCCGCACAAAAUCUAUUCCUAGAGGCAGCAAUUCCAAACCAGAUAUUAAAAUUGUGCUCUCUUCAUGACUUAUCCUUUACCC